rnacentral:tRNA from 1 species
GGUGACUCAGUGGUAGAGCACUUGCCUUGCAUGCAUGAGGCCCUGGGUUUGAUUCCCCAGCACCA